UCCAGGGUAGCCUAGUGGCAUCUGCCCGGUAAGCGGAAGGUCGUGGGUUCGAUUCCCAUCCCUUGAAA